GGAGGAUAGGCAUGGGAAGACAAUCAUUAAAAUUUCAUUGCAAUCUAUAUCGAAAUGUUCGAACCAGAGGAUCCUUUACUCCAUGCCAUUCAACAGUGCGAAAAAGCAAAGUGAGUGGCUGGCCUUUUCAAUAAGAUAAGCGUCUGUUUGGUCACUUUGCACUUCUGCUUGUUCUCAGGGAAAGCCUGCACCUGCUUUGCACAGCCAGGGGCCCCUGCCUCCCACCAGCGCCUCAACAGUCACACGCAGCUGGCACACAC